rnacentral:tRNA from 1 species
GAGGGCUUAGUUAAUUAAUAACAUUAGAUUGUCAAGCUAAAAUUAUCAAUAGAUAUUCCUCU